rnacentral:lncRNA from 1 species
UAAGCAGUUUUUUUCACAAAAAAUUCCCAACAUAAUAAUAAUAAUAAUAAUAAGCGAAAACUUUAAAAUCCCCGUUUCAUAUUUUUUUAUUUUAAUAUUCUGAGAUUGAAAGUGUAUCAAGUUAGUAUCAUAUGAUUUCUUACUUUAUCAUUUUAGUAUCAUGUGGUUUAAAGUAUAUCAAAUUAGUACCCUGUGGUUUCGCACUUUAUCACUUUAAUACCCUGUGGUUUCGCACUUUAUCAUUUUAGUACCAUGUGGUUUAAAAACCACAGGAUACUAACUUGAUACAAAAUUAAAAUCACAGAAUACUAAAGUGAUAAAGUGCAAAACCACAUGAUACUAACUUGAUACACUUUAAACCACAUGAUACUAAAGUGAUAAAGUAAGAAACCAUAGGGUACUAACUUGAUACAUUUUAAACCACAGUAUACUAAAGUAAAAAAAAAGUGAAACCACAAGGAGAAUUUUUAAAGUUUUUCCUAAUAAUAAUAAUAAUAUUUUAUAUUUUGUAA